rnacentral:rRNA from 1 species
GUGCCAGCCGCCGCGGUAAUACGUAGGUGACAAGCGUUGUCCGGAAUUAUUGGGCGUAAAGGGAGCGCAGGCGGUUGGAAUAGUCUGAUGUGAAAGCCCACGGCUUAACCGUGGAAGGUCAUUGGAAACUGUCCAACUUGAAUGCAGAAGAGGUAAGUGGAAUUCCAUGUGUAGCAGUGAAAUGCGUAGAUAUAUGGAGGAACACCAGUGGCGAAGGCGACUUACUGGUCUGUAAUUGACGCUGAGGCUCGAAAGCGUGGGUAGCAAACAGGAUUAGAUACCCCUGUAGUCC